GAGUUUGAUCCUGGCUCAGGACGAACGCUGGCGGCGUGCCUAAUACAUGCAAGUCGAGCGAACAGAAGGGAGCUUGCUCCCGGAUGUUAGCGGCGGACGGGUGAGUAACACGUGGGUAACCUGCCUGUAAGACUGGGAUAACUCCGGGAAACCGGAGCUAAUACCGGAUAGUUCCUUGAACCGCAUGGUUCAAGGAUGAAAGACGGUUUCGGCUGUCACUUACAGAUGGACCCGCGGCGCAUUAGCUAGUUGGUGGGGUAAUGGCUCACCAAGGCGACGAUGCGUAGCCGACCUGAGAGGGUGAUCGGCCACACUGGGACUGAGACACGGCCCAGACUCCUACGGGAGGCAGCAGUAGGGAAUCUUCCGCAAUGGACGAAAGUCUGACGGAGCAACGCCGCGUGAGUGAUGAAGGUUUUCGGAUCGUAAAGCUCUGUUGUUAGGGAAGAACAAGUGCGAGAGUAACUGCUCGCACCUUGACGGUACCUAACCAGAAAGCCACGGCUAACUACGUGCCAGCAGCCGCGGUAAUACGUAGGUGGCAAGCGUUGUCCGGAAUUAUUGGGCGUAAAGGGCUCGCAGGCGGUUUCUUAAGUCUGAUGUGAAAGCCCCCGGCUCAACCGGGGAGGGUCAUUGGAAACUGGGAAACUUGAGUGCAGAAGAGGAGAGUGGAAUUCCACGUGUAGCGGUGAAAUGCGUAGAGAUGUGGAGGAACACCAGUGGCGAAGGCGACUCUCUGGUCUGUAACUGACGCUGAGGAGCGAAAGCGUGGGGAGCGAACAGGAUUAGAUACCCUGGUAGUCCACGCCGUAAACGAUGAGUGCUAAGUGUUAGGGGGUUUCCGCCCCCUUAGUGCUGCAGCUAACGCAU
rnacentral:rRNA from 1 species